rnacentral:tRNA from 1 species
AAGAAAGUGGCAGAGUGGUUAUGCGUUCGGCUUGAAACCGUUUUAUGGGGGUUCAAUUCCUUCCUUUCUUG